CGCAGAGCGUGGGCGGUGGGCAAGGAGCACAGGUGGCUGAAUGGCGCGGGAAGAGAGCUCGCCAUGCUGCCAGCUGCCCUUCGAGCGGACCCGCGGAAGCCUCCCUCUACAUUUCCGCAGGAUGAAGAAUGUUGCUGAGAAAGAGCAGCGGCGCUCACACAGUGUUCCUGGGAUGCCACAAGAGGCCCUGCCAAGAAGGGGCAUUUAUCAUGACAGACUAAUUGCUCACUCUGAGGCUAGGUGAGGUUCAAGUCAACUGUCCUUAAGCUCAACCCAGUGCCAAGACAGCGGAGAGGUGACUACAGAUAAAGCAUAGGCUCCUGCCUUAAGGAAGCUAUGAUCCAGGAAGGGACUGGAACUUGGAAGAACUGUGGUAUUCAGCCACAGUAAGGCGUACAUUGAAAUGCAGACUUGCUCUGAGCCAAGCAUUGAAACUCCUGACUGGCACGGGCUUCAAGAAGACAAUCACUUCUAAAGCGGGUCUCCAAUGAAGAAUUGAAUUUCUACAGCAAAAGCAAUGACUAAAGACAGAACCUCCAAAGAAGUACUGAUUCUUGGUUUUAGGAAUUCUGUCUUUUUGUCAUACCUGGCUAUUUCUAAGUGUUAAAUAUUGCCAUUGUUUUUGGUAUACUACUCUAAUUUCAAGUUAUUGAAAAUCCAUAAUACAAGUUCAUUUGCAUCAUGAAACUAUUACUGCAAUUAAAAUUUCAAACAGAAA